rnacentral:lncRNA from 1 species
GGGGUGUGAAAUUUCUUUGAUCUCCCUCACUCCCCGUUACCUAAGUUCUGGUUCGAAACAACAUGGGCAUCAACUAUUUGAUGGGCUGCCUUGCUACGGACGUGGCUCCCUUUUCUAUGACAUUCUCUGCAGACUUUCUGAGUAGAAGUCACAGGAAGGAAGAAUUUAUAAUCUUUUGGGAGGGGGACAAAAAGCUAAAACAAGCUGAAACAUGAUGACAAAAACACAAGUAAGAAAUGUCUGUAUGGCUUGUGAUGUCAUCUCUUGAUAGAAUGUCAUGUCAUCAUUAACUCAAU